rnacentral:rRNA from 1 species
GAUGAACGCUGGCGGCGUGCCUAAUACAUGCAAGUCGAGCGAACAGACGAGGAGCUUGCUCCUCUGACGUUAGCGGCGGACGGGUGAGUAACACGUGGAUAACCUACCUAUAAGACUGGGAUAACUUCGGGAAACCGGAGCUAAUACCGGAUAAUAUAUUGAACCGCAUGGUUCAAUAGUGAAAGACGGUUUUGCUGUCACUUAUAGAUGGAUCCGCGCCGCAUUAGCUAGUUGGUAAGGUAACGGCUUACCAAGGCGACGAUGCGUAGCCGACCUGUGAGGGUGAUAGGCAAUACUGGAACUGAGACACGGUCUAGACUCCUACGGGAGGCAGCAGUAGGGAAUCUUCCGCAAUGGGCGAAAGCCUGACGGAGCAACGCCGCGUGAGUGAUGAAGGUCUUCGGAUCGUAAAACUCGGUUAUUAGGGAAGAACAAAUGUGUAAGUAACUAUGCACGUCUUGACGGUACCUAAUCAGAAAGCCACGGCUAACUACGUG